rnacentral:rRNA from 1 species
UACGUAGGUGGCAAGCGUUGUCCGGAAUUAUUGGGCGUAAAGCGCGCGCAGGCGGCCUUUUAAGUCUGAUGUGAAAUCUUGCGGCUCAACCGCAAGCGGUCAUUGGAAACUGGAGGGCUUGAGUACAGAAGAGGAGAGUGGAAUUCCACGUGUAGCGGUGAAAUGCGUAGAUAUGUGGAGGAACACCAGUGGCGAAGGCGGCUCACUGGUCCAUUACUGACGCUGAGGUGCGAAAGCGUGGGGAGCAAACAGG